rnacentral:piRNA from 1 species
UGAAGCGUUGAUUAAAAUUAU